rnacentral:tRNA from 4 species
GGGCCGGUAGCUCAGUUGGUCAGAGCAGGGGACUCAUAAUCCCUUGGCCGUGGGUUCGAGCCCCACCCGGCCCA